rnacentral:rRNA from 1 species
GAUGAACGCUGGCGGCGUGCCUAAUACAUGCAAGUCGAGCGAACAGACGAGUAGCUUGCUCCUCUGACGUUAGCGGCGGACGGGUGAGUAACACGUGGAUAACCUACCUAUAAGACUGGGAUAACUUCGGGAAACCGGAGCUAAUACCGGAUAAUAUAUUGAACCGCAUGGUUCAAUAGUGAAAGACGGUUUUGCUGUCACUUAUAGAUGGAUCCGCGCCGCAUUAGCUAGUUGGUAAGGUAACGGCUUACCAAGGCGACGAUGCGUAGCCGACCUGAGAGGGUAAUCGGCCACACUGGAACUGAGACACGGUCCAGACUCCUACGGGAGGCAGCAGUAGGGAAUCUUCCGCAAUGGGCGAAAGCCUGACGGAGCAACGCCGCGUGAGUGAUGAAGGUCUUCGGAUCGUAAAACUCUGUUAUUAGGGAAGAACAAAUGUGUAAGUAACUAUGCACGUCUUGACGGUACCUAAUCAGAAAGCCACGGCUAACUACGUG